GAGUACCAUCCUGGAGGCGCGUGACCAUUGGGUGUUUUGGAGGAGGAUUGAAGUCAACCGGCGCCGGAGGAGGUGGAGAAUUGGACAGCAGAGAAGGGUCGUCGGUGGGAUGCUAAUCUUGAUCUGGAUCGUCAGAGGCUGACGAUGUUGUGGUGGUGUGGAUGGGAGGACCGUCGCUGCCGUGAGGAGAGGCAAAGUGCAGCGACGGAGCAGGAACAUUGGAGGUAGGCUGCGGUCGGCAAUGGUAUGUGAUAAUCGGUGGAGAUGACGGAGGAAUUGGUGGAGGAGGCGCAACCAAGUCUGAGGCAGGUGAUGUCGAUGAUUGACUUUGAACAGAUGGGUUUGGCUGAGAGCUUGGGCCACUUCGCAAGUUGGCCAUUGGGAUGAGAACUUUGCUGGUUAAUUGUGUGAACUCCAAUGAUUUUGAGUCUUGAACUGACGGG
rnacentral:lncRNA from 1 species